GACGAACGCUGGCGGCGUGCCUAAUACAUGCAAGUCGAACGGUCUUUUCUAUGGAAGCUUGCUUCCACUGAGAAGAUAGUGGCGAACGGGUGAGUAACACGUGGGUAACCUGCCCAUAAGAGGGGGAUAACAUCCGGAAACGGGUGCUAAUACCGCAUAGUUUUCUUGAUCGCAUGAUCGGGAAAGGAAAGACGGCCUUUGUGCUGUCGCUUAUGGAUGGACCCGCGGCGUAUUAGUUAGUUGGUGAGGUAACGGCUCACCAAGACGAUGAUACGUAGCCGACCUGAGAGGGUGAUCGGCCACAUUGGGACUGAGACACGGCCCAAACUCCUACGGGAGGCAGCAGUAGGGAAUCUUCCGCAAUGGACGAAAGUCUGACGGAGCAACGCCGCGUGAGUGAAGAAGGUUUUCGGAUCGUAAAACUCUGUUGUCAGAGAAGAACACGUUGGAGAGCAACUGCUCCAGCCUUGACGGUAUCUGACCAGAAAGCCACGGCUAACU
rnacentral:rRNA from 1 species